rnacentral:tRNA from 1 species
GGCAAAAUGGCUGAGCAAGCAUUAGACUGUAAAUCUAAAGACAGAUGUUGAGUCCUCUUUUUGUCA